rnacentral:tRNA from 2 species
AGUUCCGGGGUGUCACCACGUUUGAUUGCAAAUCUUAAGAGUCAAGUUGAGUCUUGACGGGGCUU